rnacentral:rRNA from 1 species
CGGUAUUUUGACCGUGCGAAGGUAGCGCAAUCACUUGUCUUUUAAAUGAAGACCCGUAUGAAUGGCAUAACGAGGGCUCAGCUGUCUCCUCUUUCCGGUCAAUGAAAUUGAUCUUUCCGUGCAGAAGCGGGAAUACAAACAUAAGACGAGAAGACCCUAUGGAGCUUUAGACGCCAAGGCAGCCCACGUUAAGCACCCCCCUACAAGGGACUAAACCACAGUGAAACCUGCCCUAAUGUCUUUGGUUGGGGCGACCGCGGGGAAUUAAAGAACCCCCACGUGGAAUGGGAGCACUCCUCCUACAGCUAAGAGCUACCGCUCUAGUAAACAGAAUUUCUGACCAAUAAGAUCCGGCAAUGCCGAUCAACGGACCGAGUUACCCUAGGGAUAACAGCGCAAUCCUCUUUUAGAGCCCAUAUCGACAAGGGGGUUUACGACCUCGAUGUUGGAUCAGGACAUCCUAAU